rnacentral:snoRNA from 1 species
AAGACCUUACUUCACAGGAUCAUUUCUGUAGUAAGUGUCCACAGAUCACUCAACAGAGUGUGAGCAACGUUCAGCCACGAUGAUGAGUUGUCCUUCUUCCCAGAGCAGGAAAACGACUGAGGAAUGGUAGUUUCCUUUCCCAGUCAUUGUUGACUGUUGCAGCUUGCGGGCUGGGGAAGAAGGGUUGCUGAGUGGU